UAUGCACAAAGUUGUUGCUAAUUUACAAGGUGUUAAUUUAUAAGGUGUUGAUAUCUAUUAACAAUCCAAGCUAAAUGAAUAGUGACACACAAGAGGUGUCACCACUCAAUUAGGCCACGUUUUGAGAAGCCAGAUGUAUGGCUUCUAUCAACCCACUUGCCACGCAUUCAGAAAAAACCCACCGCCUACUCCAUUGUUUAAAAACUCAUCGCACAUGAAAAAUAGGGUUUGAUAACCAGAGACUAGAGAAACUGAAGAGAUGGGAGACAAACCGUAGACUCUCCGGCGUCGAUACAGGGGAUCCGCCGCACAUCGCUCACCGACGUCGACAUGACAGAGGGGAUCCGCCGUGCGUGGCGGCUCUCUGGCGUCCACAACAGAAUGGAAAUGAACAGUUGUGCCUGCUGAAUCACAUGUCUACCACCGUUGUAUAUUCGCCGGUCUUCACCAACAACAGCGACACCAGUUGACAGUUACCGAGUUUUCAGGUAUGGGUUUUCUGGUGACGGGGAUGUCUCGCCGGAGAAGAUCGUUUUGAAUGUUUUCGUUCCCCGCGUUGUUUGAUAUCAAAGAUAGAUUCAAAUGAAUCUAAUUUUACAUAUAAAAAUAGGCACAUCAAGUAUUUGUAUAAAUGUUCGUGAAACAAACAAUGGUAAAACCCUAUCAAACACUUGCACAAGCACACCAAAAAUGAUUUAUUGUCGAUAUUGAAGGAUAUGUGAAUAAUCUCCGGUUCUUUGUGUGUUUUGCUGCUAUUAUUUAUGUAGGCUAGGGUUUUUAGCAAUUUUAAGAUUUCCGGUUUUCGUUUUGAUGUAAAUCUUGUGGUUCAAAUUUGCGGCAAUUUUGACCUAUAUAUGAAGUGUGUCAAAUGAAUGAAAGAUGAAUACCUAAAAGGGGAAUCAUUUGCCAGCCGAAUAAUAUAGUGUUGUUAAUUGUUAAAGGAUUUGUUUUCAUCAUAUUUUUCUUAAUAAUGUGUGUAGAUUGCUCUUCAUUUUGGGAGAUAUAUCAUUACCAUAAUGAGCACUAGAGUUGCUUUGUUAAUUGGCUUCAGUUGUCAGGACUGAUGAUCUAUUUUUUUACUUGCUAAAGAUUUUGUUUUUAAGCAAUAUUGACUAAUUAGCCCCUAAAAAUGUUGACUGAAGGUGGAGAUGGUCAAAUGAAUGAUUUAGUUUACAUUACAGUACAACCUUUGCAAUGAACCUUGGUAUACCCUUUUCUUUUCUCUUUCUUUUAUUGACCCGUUACAUAUUUACAGAUCUAUAUUCUUUCAGUAUCUCACGAUCUUGUCAACUAGGGGUGCGCAUAAACCGUUAAAUCCGACUAAAUUGCCCUGACCACAGUAAAUUUGCUGGUUCAGGCGAUUUAAAGAACUGAGUUUUGACGGUUCAGCUACGGUUUGGAACUUGGAACCAGUCAUUUAAUCUAUAUUAUUGUUACCUUUUCAUUUUUGGAGUAUGUAGUUAUGUAUAUGUAAUAUGUAUAAUAUUUAUGAACACUCUUUAUCGUUAUAAAAUAAUUUAAUACAAGCUAAAGGUCGUGGAAAAAUGGAAAAACCAUUCAAACCACUAAAACCGAGCCCUUUGCCUUUUUCGAAAACCGUAGUUUGCGGUUGGGCCCAGAAUUUUCAUCAAAAUAGGCCAAACUAGAGUGCACAAAUCGUUUUUUAGAACCUACAACUGGGUAGGAACGGGGUCCGGGUUUAGUCAACAAAGUCAAGAACUGGGUAGGGUAGGUCUGAAGAAGCCUGUAUUUACCUCUGCUCGAUUGAAAAAGGGUGAAGUUUUGUACCUGGAAAGUCCUACACAAAGGUUUGAGCUUUGUUUUAAUGGAGAGAAGAUGGUGAAGUCGGGAAAUGAAACGAAUACGAAUGGCGUUGACAGUGAUAAUAACAACAAUAACAAUAACAGUAAUAACAAUAUGAUGGAUGUAUUCAGAUGGUCUUUGUGUAAGAAGCCUCUUCCUCAGACGCUUAUGUGCUCCAUCGGCACCCCUUUGCCGCCUGAACAUCUAAAGGAAAGCGCUCCAGGGCCUUGAGGCGAUGCUUCAUGCACACAUGGGUCAAAAUUGCUUCACGCACCGGUCGAUGAUGGCUGUGAAUUAGUUGCCAGAGUUUUAUACUUAACUGAUGAUGUUGAAUAUUUCUUUGGAUGAGUGUAGCUUAUUGGGUCGAUUUGAUGUAUGACGGUGUUUGAUAUGCUGUUAUCCAGGGACGGUCAGGUGGUGUCAAAGUAACAUAAUUUAGAGUAAUUUUGCAGCUCAUUUCUCAAUCCGGUUGGCAUGCUUCAGUUAUGCUUCAUACUACACUUUAUCUAUGGUGUCGAGGCUUCUGUUUGUGGCGUUCUCACCGUUAUCGUCGUUCAGAUGUCAUCGUCAUCGGUCGUUUGGGUAAUUUAUUUAUGGUGUCUAGGCUUCUUUUGUAGCGUUCUUAUUUAUGAUUUCAUUACGUGCGAUGUCGAGGAUCAAGGCAAAUAUGAGAUUGCUGAUUCACAUAAAGAAGCUGAAAAGGUUGAUUUUAUCAUUUGGAAAUAAUGUCUAUUUAUAUACACGGGUGCAGGUGGUGUCUAUUUAUAUGAAUUAAAAUAAUUAGAUGAUAAAUAGUGUUAAUUGAGCAACUUUAAAGUGUUUUAGGAAAGGGAUGAGUACUUGUCAUACAAAGAGACCUGGGAUUGCAAGCUAGAGUUGUUGGUGAAUUGCUCCAACCUGGUGGCCACAUAUAAUUGAUGCAACUGGAUUUAGAAGAUUGUGUAGAGAACAUAGAUGCUCAAAAGGAGAUGUUUUUACAAUGGCGAUUUGUCCAGCGGAUUACAGUUGCAUUCUGUAACGGAAUAUACAAAAACGAACUGCCACAAAAUUUUAUGCGAUUCAACGCUUAUUGUGUAGAAUAUAAGAGCAAAUGAUGUUUUUAAUUAGAUCACAUAAUGUAAACCACCACUACAAGAACAAUCUUCAAUGAUUUAGCAAUUCAAUUGACUUGAAUGGUUUUCCGAAGCAAAA